CCCGAAAAGUCGAAUGGGGAGAUUCAACGUCACCGGAGGCGGCUUCCGUGCGUUUAGCGAUGUUUGAGACGGCGCGUUCACGCGUGUUCGUUGAUUUCACGCUUACGCCGCGGCAUGUCCGUUAACGCCGGCGUGCACUUCUCCCCUAGUAGAACGUCGCGACCCGCUAGGUGUCGGUUUAAGGACCAAGGUCGUAGACUGUUUUCGUUUCGCGUCUUCGGGCGUUUAAUCGUUAACAGACGCUUGGCAUCCCGACCGUCUGCCUGGCGGUAUUCGAACUUGAGGCAUACGGCCGCAUUUGAAUGCGUUCUUGACUCUUGGCAAGCUCGUUCGGCAUUUAUUCCCGGAGGUUGCGAAGCCUUACGGUUUCGUCCCUGGGUGUCGUUCGGCUGUUGGCCGUAGAUGUUCUCGAACCGGCUUGCGUAUUGCCCGUCAGCGACGCUAUUGCUUUGGGUACUUUCAGGACCCGUCUUGAAACACGGACCAGGGAGUCUAACAUGUGCGCGAGUCAUUGGGACGAUAAAACCUAAAGGCGUAUUGAAAGAGAAGAUCGACUUUACGUCGAUUCAGGGAGGAUGGGCGACGUUUCGUACGUUGCCUCGCACUCCCGGGGCGUUUCGAUGUCAUUGCGACAUGGGGCGCACCAAGAGCGUACACGUUGGGACCCGAAAAGAUGGUGAACUAUGCCUGGUCAGGAUGAAGUCAGGGGAAACCCUGAUGGAGGUCCGUAGCGAUUCUGACGUGCAAAUCGAUCGUCGGAACU
rnacentral:rRNA from 1 species